rnacentral:rRNA from 1 species
UACGUAGGGGGCAAGCGUUGUCCGGAAUCAUUGGGCGUAAAGAGCGCGUAGGCGGCCAGAUAAGUCCGGUGUGAAAGUCACAGGCUCAACCUGUGAAUGCCGCUGGAAACUGUCUGGCUAGAGUCCGGAAGGGGCGAGUGGAAUUCCUGGUGUAGCGGUGAAAUGCGCAGAUAUCAGGAGGAACACCGAUGGCGAAGGCAGCUCGCUGGGACGGUACUGACGCUGAGGCGCGAAAGCGUGGGGAGCGAACAGG